GAGAGAGAGAAAGAGUCAAAUUAGGGCUCAGCAUGUUCACAGGAGGGAGUGCUCACAUCUGGUUGUGGGCUGAAUCUGAAUCAAGGCUGUGGGUGGGAGGUGGUUUUUGAACUGGUUGUGUGAGCAAAGCUGAGCUGGUGGAUAAGCACAGGACCCGUUCAGGGAACAGCAAACAGUUUAGUUUGGGUGGAGCAUACAGUAUUUGUUAGUGAGUGGAGCGGGAGGGACUGGAAAGGCAGGUUGGGGCUAGAGCUUUGAAUCCAGGCUGAGGAUUCUCCCCUUGGUGGCUGCCACAGUGAUGGAAAAACCUUCUCCAGAAUGGUGGUCUAGGCCCUAGGGCUAGGGGCUCAGCAGCUUCCAGAGAGCUUCCUCUACACGGGAAGGAGCAUUUGAAAUUGAGACAGCCAUGCCUUUUCCCGGCCCUCCUAGAUCCUAGGAGACAUAGAAGGCCAAGUAGAGGACUAUGUGAAGGAAAAAAACAAACACAGCGUGCAAGUAGUGCCAGGAGCAGAGUGCUUCCUUUGGACCCGGGAUCCCUGUGCGGAGAAGCUCCUAGACCAAGCAAAGAUUGAUAAGAAGUACUUUUCUCCAGAGCCAACAGAGAGAGAAAGCCUUCCCCUGGAGCUGGCGCCCUGAAUUCAGCCUUCUAGCCUACUAGACGCUGAGAGAAUAAAUUUGUUUGUUAAAGCCAUCCACUUGUGGUAUUUCUGCUAUGGCAGCACUAAUAACUAAGACACUAGCCAACAAUUUUGUGUGCCAGUUAUAUGCCAGGCAGUGUGCUGAGCGCUUUAACUAGAUUAUCUCAUUUGAUCCUCACAACAGCAUGAAAGGUGGGUGCUUUUACUAGCUCCAUUUUACAGAUGACAGAACUGAGGUACAGUCAUUUGUGAGGGGCCUUGCCGUUCGUGUGCUGGAGUUAGAAUUUGAAGCCAGGCUGCCAGGGGUACUUUAGAGCAUGUGCUCUUAGCCACUCAGCAGUCCACUGUAGUUCACAUUCAUCUUUUUUUGUCUUACAAUAAGAUAUAGAUAAUAUUCAGUUUCAGGUAUGGAAAGUGUGAUGGAAGGAUUCCCAUGUCAACAGUAGGAAGAUUAGGGGAAGAGAUAAGGUAGGGUUUCUCAGAGAGUGGCCAUCAGACUGUCUGCAUUACAUUAUCUGAGAUAUUUGUUAACAAUUGAGAUCUCUAGGCCUUACC